rnacentral:rRNA from 1 species
AACGAACGCUGGCGGCAUGCCUAAUACAUGCAAGUCGAACGAACGUAGCAAUACGUGAGAGGCGGACGGGUGAGUAACACGUGGGAACCUGCCCAGCGGUGGGGAACAACCGAGGGAAACUUCGGCUAAUACCGCAUACGCCCUUACGGGGAAAGAUUUAUCGCCGUUGGAGGGGCCCGCGUCCGAUUAGCUAGUUGGUGAGGUAACGGCUCACCAAGGCGACGAUCGGGAACUGGUCUGAGAGGACGACCAGUCACACUGGGACUGAGACACGGCCCAGACUCCUACGGGAGGCAGCAGUAGGGAAUAUUGGACAAUGGGGGAAACCCUGAUCCAGCAAUGCCGCGUGAGUGAUGAAGGCCUUAGGGUUGUAAAGCUCUUUCGCCCACGACGAUGAUGACGGUAGUGGGAGAAGAAGCCCUGGCUAACUUCGUGCCAGCCGCCGCCGUAA